rnacentral:tRNA from 1 species
GCGCCCGUAGCUCAUCCGGAUAGAGCGCCGGUUUCCUAAACCGGAGGCAGCAGGUUCGAGUCCUGCCGGGCGCACCA